rnacentral:rRNA from 1 species
GGUGAGUAACACGUGGGUGAUCUGCCUGCACUCUGGGAUAAGCCUGGGAAACUGGGUCUAAUACCGGAUAGGACCGCACUUUAGUGUGUGUGGUGGAAAGUUUUUUCGGUGUAGGAUGAGCCCGCGGCCUAUCAGCUUGUUGGUGGGGUAAUGGCCUACCAAGGCGGCGACGGGUAGCCGGACUGAGAGGUUGGUCGGCCACAUUGGGACUGAGAUACGGCCCAG